rnacentral:lncRNA from 1 species
AACCCUUGCCUUUCUACUUUAAUGUUUGGAUUUUUGAUAAUGUUGCACAAAAAUUGGUGAUAGCUCACAUGACGAAAAGUGAACUAUAUCUUCAAGACACUGUCUUUAUUGGGCCAGGUCUUUUAUUUUUAGACCAAUACUUUAAUAAUUUUAUAGAUGAAUAUGUUGUUCUGUGGAUAGCAAUGGUCAUUUAUUUCUUCAUUUGAUAUGAUGAUAUACUUUAGUUCUUUGUGCCUGCAAAUUUCAAGACACCUUCAUCUAAAUAUCUUCAAGACUUUAUGUCAACAAGCACCUGAACAGGUCUACAAGCAUAUUGAAUGA